rnacentral:rRNA from 1 species
CCUUGCAGAUGACGAGGUUGAUAGGCCAGAGGUGUAAGUGCAGUAAUGCAUUGAGCUGACUGGUACUAAUCGGUCGAGGGCUUGACCACAA